CCAAUCGACGACGACAAACUAAUCUCCUGAAUCCUCACUAGCCUCAACUAUGAGUACAACCCAAUCGUCACCACCCUUACAGUAGAGGAUGAGCUCACCAAUGACGAGGUGUAUUCAUGACUACUCAACUUUGAGC
rfam:Zea mays cultivar B73 chromosome 5, whole genome shotgun sequence.